GUCAUGGCUUUACAUACGAUGAUAUACGAUCAUGUACAAUUAGAAAUAUGAAUUGCUCGGUAACAGCUUUAGCAGUUUUUAAACCACAUUAAUAAAACGUAUACGACCGACACACAGUUCGUCAUAUGACGUGACUUGUUAAUAUCUAUUUUCUACUCCACAGAUGGCAUACAAUAACCGUCUUCACAAUCUUAGGCUACCUGUGGGUAGUAAACCCCUGUGUUAACCCCUUCAUAUAUGCCAUAUUCAACUGCAUUGGCAGACGGAGGAAAAAACGUCUCCUGGACUGUAAAAGUCAGAAUAGUCAGAAUCCCAAAUAAUGACCGGAACGAAAUGACGACCGAUGUUUACAUCUCAAAUCUCUUUUCUCUUUGUGGAGCUUCUUCUAUAACCCUGAUAUAUAUUCAUUCC